rnacentral:lncRNA from 1 species
AAAAGCCAACUAAAAUUGCAUGUAUGAAUCCAUGAGUUUUGAAAAACAUCAAUGUAAUGACCCAUUUUUGCCCGGGCCCAAAACUAAAUAAACAAAACCCAAAAUAAAAAAAUAAACAAUCCAAAAAAAUUAUAAACUCAAACCCAACCUAAACCUAACCCUAGUAGCCCAAUCAGCCCAAUACCCAAAAAUAGAAAAAACAAAUUUUACCCUAGGUGCGCCGCACCUAGGUCUUCCCUUAGGCCUUCUCCUAGUCACCGCACGCCAGCCACCGCCACCUCCACGCGCGUCGCACGCCUCUGACACAUGCAGAGAGAAAUCAAUGCAAGACCACAGAAGAAACAACUAGAAGGAAAAAAAAAAUAGAAAUGAAGAGGUUGUAACUUGGCUAUAAAAGCCAAAAUGUCCUCUUUGUAUUGGUUUCUUCUACGAACAUUAAUAAAAAAAAACGAAAACAGAAAACAGAUUUCAGAGGUGAUUUUUUUUUACUUUCUUGUUUGAUUUUUUUAAUUUUAUUUUCAUUUUUUACAUACUAUAAUAAAAAUAAAAUAAAAAGGGAAAGGGAGGCUCACCGGAGAUGUCUGUGACCACACUAUUGGAGGGCUUUUCUCCGUCACCGGAACCGAGUCCAAAAGGGUCGAGAGUCCUCCUUUUUUUAUUUUUAUGGGUUGAGAGGGCUUGGCUCUCA